rnacentral:rRNA from 1 species
AUUGAACGCUGGCGGCAGGCCUAACACAUGCAAGUCGGGCGAGCGGAGGACGGGUGAGUAAUGUAUGGGGAUCUGCCUGAUGGCGGGGGAUAACUACUGGAAACGGUAGCUAAUACCGCAUACCUUCCGAUUAACCCAUCGGGGAUUAGCUAGUAGGUAAGGUCACGGCUUACCUAGGCGACGAUCCCUAGCUGGUCUGAGAGGAUGAUCAGCCACACUGGGACUGAGACACGGCCCAGACUCCUACGGGAGGCAGCAGUGGGGAAGAUUGCACAAUGGGCGCAAGCCUGAUGCAGCCAUGCCGCGUGUAUGAAGAAGGCCUUCGGGUUGUAAAGUACUUGCAUUCGGGAGGCGUUACCGACAGAAGAAGCACCGGCUAACUCCGUGCCAGCAGCCGCGGUAAUUC